ACUUAAAUAGCUUAACUUGAAAGCGUAGUGUUGAAGCCGCUAAAAUAAUUUAUUAAUUUUUAAGUA
rnacentral:tRNA from 1 species